rnacentral:rRNA from 1 species
ACUCAAAUGAAUUGACGGGGACCCGCACAAGCGGUGGAGCGUGUUCUUUAAUUCGAUGAUAAUCGAAGAACCUUACCUGGACUUGACAUCCUGUGAAGGAUUCCGAAAGGAAUUUGUGCCUUCGGGAACGCAGUGACAGGUGCUGCAUGGCCGUCGUCAGCUCGUGUCGUGAGAUGUUGGGUUAAGUCCCUCAACGAGCGCAACCCUUGUGGCUAGUUGUAUUUUUCUAGUCAGACUGCCCCGGCAACGGGGAGGAAGGAGGGGAUGAUGUCAGGUCUUUAUUGCCCUUACGUCCAGGGCUAGAAACGCGCUACAAUGGCCGGUACAAUGGGCAGCCAACCCGCGAGGGGGAGCAAAUCCCAUCAAAGCCGGUCUCAGUUCGGAUUGCAGGCUGAAACUCGCCUGCAUGAAGUCGGAAUCGCUAGUAAUCGCGGAUCAGCACGCCGCGGUGAAUACGUUCCCGGGUCUUGUACACACCGCCCGU